AUGUCCAAGAGCCGUAAGAUCGGCCGCAUGCUUGCCGAGCAGGACGAGCAGCGUCCAGCGGGCCAGCGGCGGCGUGGGCGUGGGAGUUCUGAAGGCAAUGUCGAAGAGCAUGCUGCGGCGGAAACAGAGAUUGAGGACGCAGAGGAGGAGGACGGGGACGAGGAGCAGCAGCAUAUUAGGAUGCAUGACGGCAAGUCGUACCGCAUCACCUUCCCGGACUUUCCCGGCGGGCCGGGCACCUUCGAGGCGGCGACCAAGUUCUGCUACGGCGUCCGCGUCGAGCUCACGCCCUGGAACAUCGCCCCACUGCGGUGCGCGGCCGAGUACCUGGAGAUGACGGAGGAGCACUCCGAGGACAACCUGGCCGCGCGUGCCGAGGCCUACCUCUCGCAGUCCGUGCUCCGCCACCCCGGCGAGGCCGCCAAGGCGCUCAAGUCCUGCGAGGAGCUGCUGCCGCACGCCGAGGAGCUCGGCAUUAUCGCCCGCUGCGUGGACGCCAUCGCCGCGCGCUCGUCGGCGAUGUCGCGCUCCUGGUUCGGCGACCUGGCCGUGCUCGGCCUGCACAUGUACAAGCGGGUAAUGGCGGCCAUGGCCGCGCGCAAGGACGUGAGGACGGAGGCUUUGGAGGGUUGCCUCGUGUCCUACGCCAAGUCCACCCUCCCGGGGCUGUCGAGGUCCAUGAGGUGGCGUCGCGCGUCCGCGCCGGUCUCGUCGGAGGUGGAGCAGAGAGACCUCCUGGAGGCGGUGGUCGCGAGCCUCCCCGCGGACAAGGGCUCGGGGAGCGUGGUGACCGCGAAGUUCCUGUUCGCGCUGCUGGGCACGGUGCACAUCCUGCGCGCUUCAGACGCGGCGCGCGCGGCGAUCGAGCGGAAGGCCGCGACGCAUAUGGAACAGGCAACGGUGGAGGACGUGCUCAUCCCGAGCUACUCCGGCGCCGCGGAGACGCUCUACGACAUGGACUACGUCGAGCGGGUGGUCAGGAACUUCCUAGCCGAGGAGGAGGUGGGCGAGGACGAGGCGUCGUCGUCAGCUGCAAUCACUGAGGAGGAAGCGGUGGCGAGGACGACGGCGUCGCGCCCGUCGGCCGUGGCAAUGGUGCAGGUGGGCAAGCUGGUGGACAACUACCUGGCAGAGGUAGCGUCCGACGCCAACCUGAAGCCAACCAAGUUCUGCGAGCUCGCGCUGGCAAUGCCGGACCACGCACACAUCUACGACGAUGGCGUCUACCGCACCGUCGACAUCUACCUCAAGGCGCAUCCGCGGCUGACGGCGGAGGAGCGGGACAGGGUGUGCGGCGUGGUGGACUGCAGGAAGCUGACGGUGGAGGCGUGCACGCACGCGGCGCAGAACGAGCGGCUCCCGCUGCGCGCGGUGCUGCAGGUGCUCUUCUUCGAGCAGCUGCUGCUCCGGCGCGCCAUCACGGGCACGCUGCUGGCGUCCACGGCUUCCCCGCGAGCGCGGCAUCCGAAUCCUCAUCCGUAG
rnacentral:rRNA from 1 species